CUCUGUCCCAGAACAAAGUUCAGAAUAUUUAUAUGAAUACUAGAAUAGCACAUAACAAAGUAAAAUUAUUGGGCUGGUGAGAUGGCUCAGUGGGUAAGAGCACCCGACUGCUCUUCCGAAGUUCAAAUCCCAGCAACCACAUGGUGGCUCACAACCAUCUGUAACAUGAUCUGACGCCCUCUUCUGGAGUGUCUGAAGACAGCUACAGUGUACUUACAUAUAAUAAAUAAAUAAAUCUUUAAAAAAAAAAAGUAAAAUUAUUUUAAAAUCUAGCAAAAAAAAAAAAGAUACAUGGCAGGAAAAAAUGUUGUCAGGCGUUCAAAGAAGCAAAAAAACCUGACUCAUAACUGAAACUGAAAUGACAGACUAAUUAAACAGUGAUUAGAAUAGUUAUAGAAACUGUAGUAUACACACUAAGAAAGAAACAUUGUUAAAUGCUAAGUAGGGACAUGUGAAAUCCUUUUAAACAUUUUAGUUGAAGUCAGGCAGUGGUGGCGCAUGCCUUUAAUCCCAGUGUUCCAGAAGUAGAGGCUGGCCUCACAGUUGCUGAUCCUCUGACUCUCUCUCCUGAGUGCUGAGAUUAAAGGUGUUCGCCACCAUGCCCAGGGGCAAGAAGCUCUUCAAAAGCUGUCUAGUCUAACCUGACCCCAAGUGGAUGGGGGAACUGACCUGGGAUCCUUUGUAAGAACAAA
rnacentral:lncRNA from 1 species